rnacentral:rRNA from 1 species
UAAGGAAUAUUGCGCAAUGGGCGAAAGCCUGACGCAGCGACGCCGCGUGGGGGAUGAAGGUCUUCGGAUUGUAAACCCCUUUCGGGAGGGAAGAUGGAAUGGGGUAACCCAUUCGGACGGUACCUCCAGAAGCAGCCACGGCUAACUUCGUGCCAGCAGCCGCGGUAAUACGAAGGUGGCAAGCGUUAUUCGGAUUUACUGGGCGUACAGGGAGCGUAGGCGGUUCGGUAAGCCCUUUGUGAAAUCUCCAGGCUUAACCUGGAACAGUCGGAGGGGACUGCCGGGCUAGAGGACGGGAGAGGAGCGCGGAAUUCCCGGUGUAGCGGUGAAAUGCGUAGAGAUCGGGAGGAAGGCCGGUGGCGAAGGCGGCGCUCUGGAACGUUUCUGACGCUGAGGCUCGAAAGCGUGGGGAGCAAACAGGAUUAGAUACCCUGGUAGUCCACGCCUUAAACUAUGAAUACUAAGUGUCGGCGGGUUACCGCCGGUGCCGCAGCUAACGCAUUAAGUAUUCCGCCUGGGAAGUACGGCCGCAAGGUUG